AAGUCGUAACAAGGUUUCCGUAGGUGAACCUGCGGAAGGAUCAUUACCGAGUGAGGGCCCUCUGGGUCCAACCUCCCACCCGUGUUUAUUUUACCUUGUUGCUUCGGCGGGCCCGCCUUAACUGGCCGCCGGGGGGCUUACGCCCCCGGGCCCGCGCCCGCCGAAGACACCCUCGAACUCUGUCUGAAGAUUGUAGUCUGAGUGAAAAUAUAAAUUAUUUAAAACUUUCAACAACGGAUCUCUUGGUUCCGGCAUCGAUGAAGAACGCAGCGAAAUGCGAUACGUAAUGUGAAUUGCAAAUUCAGUGAAUCAUCGAGUCUUUGAACGCACAUUGCGCCCCCUGGUAUUCCGGGGGGCAUGCCUGUCCGAGCGUCAUUUCUGCCCUCAAGCACGGCUUGUGUGUUGGGCCCCGUCCUCCGAUCCCGGGGGACGGGCCCGAAAGGCAGCGGCGGCACCGCGUCCGGUCCUCGAGCGUAUGGGGCUUUGUCACCCGCUCUGUAGGCCCGGCCGGCGCUUGCCGAUCAACCCAAAUUUUUAUCCAGGUUGACCUCGGAUCAGGUAGGGAUACCCGCUGAACUUAA
rnacentral:rRNA from 2 species